CCCAGACCCCGAGACAUGGGAAGACUUACAGUCCCCAGGGGAUGGGGCCCGGACCCGGCCUGAGCUGGAGGUGGUGGUGGAGAAGCGCAUAAUGGGCCCAAAGCCAGAGAAGACCACCUUCUGUUCAAAGAGCUCUGUCACUGUCUCUGUGUCCUGGGAUGAGUGUGCCCCCUGCUCCAGUUUUCCCACCUAUGAUGAAGUGGGAGGAGAAUGACUCCCCACCCUACUGACUCCACUGGACAGAGAGAGAUGAAAACGGUCCCAGAGUCUGCCCUGCUGUACUCAUCUGUAGAUCAUUCAUUUAAGAAAUACUCAGAAGGUUUGAUAUCUUGAUCUGGGUUAUGGUUAUGUGAGUGUAUACACAUGUCAAAAUUCAUCAAGCUGUACACUAAGAUUGAUGCAUUUUAUUGUACCUCAAUAUAAAAAAAAUAAUAAAUUUAAUGAAAAUAAAUAUUCAA